CGCGUAGGCGGCGCGAGCAGUCGGCGGUGAAAGCCCGGGGCUCAACUCCGGGUCGGCCGUCGAUACUCUCGUGCUCGAGCACUGUAGAGGCAGGUGGAAUUCCGGGUGUAGCGGUGGAAUGCGUAGAGAUCCGGAAGAACACCGGUGGCGAAGGCGGCCUGCUGGGCAGUAGCUGACGCUGAUGCGCGACAGCGUGGGGAGCAAACA
rnacentral:rRNA from 1 species